rnacentral:lncRNA from 1 species
GCCUUCAUGUUUUUGAAUAACCAAUCUUUUUUUAUACAAAGUCUAACAAAUAUAAGUUUGUGCUUAUAAAUGAUAUAUUAAAGUACUUAAGUUUAUACUCAAAGAAAAUAAUACUUAAUCAUAAAUUACAUAUAUAACACAACAACCAGUACAAACACAAUCUCAAAAGCAUAACAUUUAUUUAUUUGUAAAUUUGUUGUUAUUAAUACGACACAUAUGAUGUUAUUAACUUUGCCCAACAUUGUACAAAAUGUAUAAAACAACCAUCGGUGACUUAUUUAAUAGAUAUCCUUAUUCCAUGCAUGCUUUAGAAAAUGGAUAUUAUCUUCCAAAUAAUUGUUUUUUUUCCAAUUGGUGGUUUUAUUUUUUCAGGUUUUUGUAUGGGUGGCGUUUCAGUUGGUCGAUCUACGGGUUCGAAUUCGGGUUUUUUUUUCAAUUGGUCGAUGAACGGGUUUUCCACUUCCCCUACCCUUUUGCUGGACUUGCUAAACAUUUGCAAGACCUUGUGGAACAAUGAUAAGGGCACCAAAGAAAAAAACUAGUAAGGACAAGAAAAAGGAAGCCAUUUCGGUAAGUGAUUUUAAUGUUUGUGCUUAAAAUCAUGUUUUAUACUAGUUAGGGGCCUUAAUGUCUCCAUCAUAGUCGUCCUAUAUUAUAUCUCAAUGGUCAUUUUAUUAUAUGUUAAAUUUUAAUGUGAUUUAUUCAACAAUGUUACAACUCUUCGAAAAACUACAAGAGUAUUUACAAUAUCAAUCUUUCAUAUCUAUUGCCCCUUAAUGUCAAUGACUUUCUAUUAAUUGUACACCGCACUUCAUAGUUACCUCAAAUAAUUAAAUAAGGAAAAAUAAAUAUCAAAUAUUAUUCUCUACAUAAAUAUUGAACCAUCUCAACAUUAUAUUAAAUAAGUUAUAAUCUAUUUAGAUUAAGAUUAAAUUCUUUAGAUACAACUUAUGCCCAUACUAUAUUUGGAUUCGUUUUAUUUGAUCUAUUAUAUAUAUAUAUAUAUAUAUAUAUAUAUAUAUAUGUGUGUGUGUGUGUGUGUGUGUGUGUGUGUGUGUACAAUAUUCUUUUCACACAUUGUGAUUCUGCAUAAUUCGAAAUAAAAUCCUGCGUAACUCGAAAUAAAACAUUAGUUCUCGUAGUUGCUUGCGGAUGAUAUCCACUUUAAUUACAAAUAAAAUAAAAAAUUAUUGGUGUCAUUUACCACAAUAUUGAUUUCACUCUAUAAGAAUUAUAUUGGUUAAAGUACAAAUACUCACUAAUAAAUUUUUCAAAUUAAUUAGUACCUUAUAAAUCACACUCUCAAACCUACAAAAAUAAAUUCUCAUUCUUCUAAUAUUCUUAAUGCAUACUUGAUACCCCUUCAAAGCUUGAUAGCCCACAUGCUACAUUCUCAACUCCUAAAACUGUUUUUUUUUUUUUUUUUUCAAUUAUCUAUAGUGUUAGAGUUCAAACCAACAAUUUACAAUUCGAUAAAAAAAAAAGUAAUAGUGGUUUAUAAUAUAAUCUAUUUUAAUAUAGAACGAGAUCUUUGAUGUUCCAUAUACAACAAAAUUUCCCUAUCACAUACUUUUAUUGAUACAAGUUUUAAUCUAUUUUCUAAUAUCAUCAUUUAGUUAUGUUCCCUUUUCAAAUUAUAUUUUAUUUGUUUUACUGAUUUCAAAAGAUGAGUCGUGUCUUGAUCAUAUGUAAUGUAUCUCUUAACUUUUUUUUACCAGUAUAUUACAAUACUAAUUCAAAAUAUCUUCUUUAUCAUUUGUUUGCCACAAUUUAUAUGAACUAUUUUGAAGCAACACAACUGAUGGGGGAAACAUUUUGUUGCCUCUUUUUGAUCACUACAACAUUACAUGUUUCAUUAUGUAUAUGCUAAAUAGUUGAAUGUAAUCCAAAUUAUUUUUAUAAUUUUUUUUUUAAAAAAAAAGUGACUUUAAAUAAAUUUCAAGAUUAGUAAUAUCAUUUGUUUGGACAUUGUUAUCCAUUACAUGAUUUUCUAUGGUAUCAUGCAUAUUUACUUGUUUUGUUUAAGAUCAUUCACAUGCCCUUUUUAUUUUAAAAAUAAAAAUAAUUCUUAAAACAAUUUCUCUCUCAAUUUUUUUUGUUAUUUUUAUUGUUCAUGUUGUAAACCUAUUUUAAUAUAUAUAUAUAUAUAUAUAUAUAUAUAUAUAUAAUGNNNNNNNNNNNNNNNNNNNNNNNNNNNNNNNNNNNNNNNNNNNNNNNNNNNNNNNNNNNNNNNNNNNNNNNNNNNNNNNNNNNNNNNNNNNNNNNNNNNNNNNNNNNNNNNNNNNNNNNNNNNNNNNNNNNNNNNNNNNNNNNNNNNNNNNNNNNNNUAUAUAUAUAUAUAUAUAUAUAUAUAUAUAUAUACUAUAAUUAUAGUAUUGUGGUACAAUACAAUACCUUCUAUAGCUUUUUUUGGUAAAAAUUUCUGAAAACAUUAAAAAAAAUAUUUACCUAUUAAAAGUAUAUUAAAACAACCUCUUGAAUAUAUCUACCGGCACUUUUGUCACAUCAAAUAUAUUCAAUGUGGCACCUUAAGAAAUCAUCUUACUGUCACUCUUACAUUACAUCCAUUCUUCCAUUGAUUAAUAUUUCAAUUUUAUUCUUUAUUUAUUGUUGUUGCACCAAUUUUAUAACUAAAACAUACUCUCUCCUAACUCAUUAUUGCAUAAUUAUAUCGUAUAAUAAAUUUGGUAACUCUCAUUUUUCAAUUAAAAUCAUUUGGUUUUAUAUUACAAAAUUGCUUUGUAGCUUAAGCCCAUCAUAUGAUAGAAUUUAUUGCAUCCUUUUUGGCAUCAUUCUCUUUUCUCUUCCUCAAUAUCAACUGUUGAGAAUUGGAUCACUCAAUUCUUAAUCUCAUCUAAUCACCAAGUUGAAAGAGCUCAAUAUGUGAGUUCUAUAGCUUUUUUGUUAUAAUGUUUCAAUUUCUUGGAGUUCAUAUUAUAUUUGCUAUGUAACUUGCAUAUUAUUAGUCUAACUAUUUAUAAUAUAAUUGUUCUUCUUAAUAUUUUAACAUGUAUUCCCCAAAUACACUAUUUAAAAGUCAACAGUUUUGAUCCCUCCUUUUGAUUUUUUAACUCGGAAAUUUUAACAUUUCACGUCGUCAUUUUUAGUUCAAAAAUCUGACAGAUGAACCAAAACUGUUAACUUUUAAAAUAGGGGGACCAUUUCCGUGAAUCCAAAAUUGUCAACUUUUAAAAUAAGGGGACCAUUUCCGUGAAUUAGUAAUAAUAGAGCGAAUAAAACUGCAAUUAAACUAAUAAAUAAUUACUUAAAAGACACUUAAAAAUAUGCAUAUGAUAAAGAGUUAUCAUAUAUACUUCCCCCUCACACAGUAUCUUCACGUUUGCCCUUCAUUUUUCAUGACAUAAUGCCUUGUUGUAUAACUCUUCCACCCAUGCUUCAUUGGCUUCAAUAAUAUAACAGUUGAAUUUAUCCCAUCCUCUACUCCUUAACUCAUUGGUGAAAAGGGGUAAUCAAAUCGGUUAAGGUCAAAAGCUCUUUGCGGAUUGAUUUUACGAGAUAUAGUUUGGGAAUGGCUACUCUCAUUAGAGAUGGUGUAACACUCCAAAUUUUAUAAUAAACUAUUUUAUUAAUGAAUAGGAUUUUAAAUAAUUAAUUUGAUGUUAAAAUUAUUUUAUAAUAUAUGUUGAUAAAUUUUGGGAUAAUUUUCGUCAUAUGGGUGCUUUCUACGAUGUGCUAGUUUUAUAAAUAUUAUAUUAAAUGAGCAAUACAAAUAAUAAAUUUUAUAUUUUAUUAUUUGAUAUAUUUUUAGAAAAAAUAAUAGCAUUUUAGUGUAAUAUUUUAAAGAAAAAGAUUUUAUGCGAUUUUACGUGUAUAUACGCGUACCCAAUUAAUGUAAUAUUUUUCUGUGCACUUGACUGAUCUUAAGUAUGCACAUAGUUAUAUUUCAAUUAUUUAUAAUUAUUUUCUAUUUUUAGUUAUAUUUUUAUAAAUAAUUAUCUUGACAUAGAAUUGAUAUUGUUUUUGAUUUUGUUUAUUUUUAUAUACUUGUUAUGACAUUGUGAUUUUAUAUAUAUUUAUUAUGAUUUAGUAAUUAAUAGAAAAUAUUGAUGUUAUAUUUAUUUAUUUUAUAAUUUUGACUAUUUUCUAAUAUGAUGGUAUUAUUAUAAUGUGAGUAUUUUGAAAAAUAAUUAUAAUUGUAGCGAUUAUUUUGAAUGUGAGUUUCAAUUAUUAGUAAUAUAUUGAUUAUUUUAAUUACUCUAAUUUAUAAAAUAUUAGUAAUGUUUGGAAAACUGUGUUUGGAGUAAUAUUAAAAGGGAGAUUAAAUAACUAUUAAUUUUAUUUUAGCAUAAUAAAAAUAAUAAUAGUAAAACAAAAACAUACACAAAUGGACCAAUGGGUUUGAUCCAUGUGUGAACCCUAAUUCUUAAUAAAAUAAAAUAAAAAAAAAGGAAAGGGAGUUGAAAGGGCAGCCGUAAAACCAAAACAAUAACCUAUCGUUUGACACCGGUGAUCGAUAACUGUUCCAGAAAACUUUUUCUAUUUUCGCCCAAAUUUAAGUAUGUUAUUUCAUUCAUUUAACUCGUCAAUUAAACAUAAUUUUCCAGAUUUUUAAUAACCCCAAUUUCUCUGUAAAAUACCCAACUUCUCCAUUUGUAGAAUUCGUUAUUUUGCACCGUUUUCAAAAUUUAGUUUUUAGAGUAUCUUCUGAUAAUUUAUUUUUAACGUUUACCCAUAAAUUGUCGAGUUAGAUCGAUUGAAGGACAAAGAGUCAAUGAACAAAAGCGGUUUGCUCGUGGAAUCGUAUUUGUGUGUGAAUGCGUCGAAAUAAGGUAAGGGGUGAGAGAGCAUUUGAAUUCAUGGGUAUAAUAUAAUGUUAGAUGAACGGGAAAACUUUAUUUCCUAACGAUUCAUCAGGGGCUCGCUACGUACAACAGUAGCCCUUUGAGUGAUAAAUCUAUUAAUGUGAAAGUAUGGAAAUUGUGAGAUUAAAUUAUGGAAUAGAAAUAUUUAUAAGGUGUUGAUUGAUUUAAUUUCGUUAAAUGCGUGGUAUUUGAUAUUAUUAUGAUAUUUGAUUUCAAAUGAAUUUGAUGCAUAUGUUUGAUUAGACGAAUUUAUGUGAUGUGAUAGUAAAAUAUGGAUGCAUGGUAUGAUAUAUGUAUGCGGGAUGAUAAUGCUGAUUUUUUAUCGACAAUAGUGAUGUUAUAAAAUUAUGAUGAGUUUUGUAACACCCCGUUUUUCAAAGCGAGGGUAUAUUUUUUUUUUUUCAAAAGUAAUUAAAAACAAACAAAGAAUUAAAUCAUGAAAUGCCUUUGGAUAAAUAAUUGAGUCAUUAUAAUUUACAAGCAGCGGAAAAAUUUCUCCAAUUAUAAAUCCAAAACAUUUACACAACGACGAAUGGUACAUGGAAACCAUUCAAAUAAGAUGUCAAACUGACAAUAUUAGUAUAAGUACAGUUUUCCAAACUAAAAAUACUCCAAUCCAAAAAGAAGGACACCUAGUCCCUAUACAUCAUCCUAAUCUGAUCAUCCUACCAAAAAGCUAUACCCCCUGAGUGAUCUCCACGCGCCCCGUGAGAUCCUCCUAACGUAACUGCAGUCAAGCGUUCCCAUCUCCAUUCCCGUCCGUAGGGUACGAACCGGUAGGACCGUCCUGACUCUCAUCUGAGGGCAAAGCCCAGAUUUCCACAAUAAUUGUAAAGGGUCACCAACCAAAAAAUAACAGUUAACACAUAGCAAUUAAGUUUUUGAAUGCUCAAAAUAACUUUUCAACUAAGCAUGCACCUUAACAAGAUUUCCAAUAUGCGAAAAGUUUAUACAAUACUUUGCCAAUUAAAAAUGAAAGUAAAAUGAAGUUCUCAAUCUCCUUAUUAACGCAUAACAAAACAAGACAUGGAUAAGUUAAUGAGUAAUCAAUCAUCUAACUCAAACUGAGGAUUUUCACUGAGCCAAUCGAUUGGGAAAUCGAUUGGGGUGAAGGUUCUUAAUGAAAACAGAAUCCUGGGCUGAAUCAAUCGAUUUGGCAAUCGAUUGAGUGAGUACUGAGCCCCCAGGUUUUAAGCCAAUCGAUUUCCAAAUCGAUUUGGUCGAAUAUGGAUGAGUCCCUGACUUAAGGCCCAAUCGAUUGGGCAAUCGAUUUCGUAAAUGAUUUUCGAAAACUGAUUACAAAAUCGAUUGGCUAAUCGAUUUUGUCCAUUUGGCCAAGUCCCUGUCUACCAUCCAAUCGAUUGGGAAAUCGAUUUCCCUGAUCAUUUUUCCAAAAAUUCAUGAAUUAACUCAAGUCAUUCCUAAUCAAGUCCACAACCUAACACUUAGCAAUUCCUACGCGAUUACCACGGCAAUUGGGAUCUCGAUAACCAUCAUACUUACACCCAAUAACCAACACAUAACACUUAGCACCUUCAACGUAAUUACCACGAUAAAUCAAAAUUCAAAUCACUCAAUCAUAAACUCAAAUCAAAUACGACUCGCGUGCCAAGCACCCUAAUGCAAUGCGUAUAUGCCAAAAUGCAUGGACUCGGAAUUCCAAACCAAAACCCUCCUCGAAGGGCCGUAAAUCAUAAUUGUACCGCCUAUCGCAGGCCAAAGUACCAAUUACCGAGGUGCCACCUAUCACGGGUCAGCACGAUUUACUAAAAUGCGUAAAUCAUAAACGUACCACCUAUCACGGGUCAGUACAGUUUACCGAGGUGUCACCUAUCACAGGUCAACACGAUUUACUAAAAGAAAAAGCGUGAAUCGUAAACGUACCGCCUAUCACAGACCAGUACUGUUUACCGAGGUGCCACCUAUCACGGGUCAGCACAAUUCACCAAAAACGUAAAUCGUAAACGUACCACCUAUCACGGGUCAGUACAGUUUACCAAGGUGUCACCUAUCACGGGUCAACACAAUUUACCAAAAACGUAAAUCGUAAACGUACCACCUAUCACGGGUCAGUACAGUUACCAUGGUGUCACCUAUCACGGGUCAACUCGAUUUUCUAAAUAGUAACUCGUAAACGUACCACCUAUCACGGGUCAGUACAGUUACCAUGGUGUCACCUAUCACGGGUCAACGCGAUUUNNNNNNNNNNNNNNNNNNNNNNNNNNNNNNNNNNNNNNNNNNNNNNNNNNNNNNNNNNNNNNNNNNNNNNNNNNNNNNNNNNNNNNNNNNNNNNNNNNNNNNNNNNNNNNNNNNNNNNNNNNNNNNNNNNNNNNNNNNNNNNNNNNNNNNNNNNNNNNNNNNNNNNNNNNNNNNNNNNNNNNNNNNNNNNNNNNNNNNNNNNNNNNNNNNNNNNNNNNNNNNNNNNNNNNNNNNNNNNNNNNNNNNNNNNNNNNNNNNNNNNNNNNNNNNNNNNNNNNNNNNNNNNNNNNNNNNNNNNNNNNNNNNNNNNNNNNNNNNNNNNNNNNNNNNNNNNNNNNNNNNNNNNNNNNNNNNNNNNNNNNNNNNNNNNNNNNNNNNNNNNNNNNNNNNNNNNNNNNNNNNNNNNNNNNNNNNNNNNNNNNNNNNNNNNNNNNNNNNNNNNNNNNNNNNNNNNNNNNNNNNNNNNNNNNNNNNNNNNNNNNNNNNNNNNNNNNNNNNNNNNNNNNNNNNNNNNNNNNNNNNNNNNNNNNNNNNNNNNNNNNNNNNNNNNNNNNNNNNNNNNNNNNNNNNNNNNNNNNNNNNNNNNNNNNNNNNNNNNNNNNNNNNNNNNNNNNNNNNNNNNNNNNNNNNNNNNNNNNNNNNNNNNNNNNNNNNNNNNNNNNNNNNNNNNNNNNNNNNNNNNNNNNNNNNNNNNNNNNNNNNNNNNNNNNNNNNNNNNNNNNNNNNNNNNNNNNNNNNNNNNNNNNNNNNNNNNNNNNNNNNNNNNNNNNNNNNNNNNNNNNNNNNNNNNNNNNNNNNNNNNNNNNNNNNNNNNNNNNNNNNNNNNNNNNNNNNNNNNNNNNNNNNNNNNNNNNNNNNNNNNNNNNNNNNNNNNNNNNNNNNNNNNNNNNNNNNNNNNNNNNNNNNNNNNNNNNNNNNNNNNNNNNNNNNNNNNNNNNNNNNNNNNNNNNNNNNNNNNNNNNNNNNNNNNNNNNNNNNNNNNNNNNNNNNNNNNNNNNNNNNNNNNNNNNNNNNNNNNNNNNNNNNNNNNNNNNNNNNNNNNNNNNNNNNNNNNNNNNNNNNNNNNNNNNNNNNNNNNNNNNNNNNNNNNNNNNNNNNNNNNNNNNNNNNNNNNNNNNNNNNNNNNNNNNNNNNNNNNNNNNNNUAUAUAUAUAUAUAUAUAUAUAUAUAUAUAUAUAUAUUAAAUAUAACUUAACAAAUAUCCCAAAAUAUCCAGAUAUUUGUUAAAUUACCAUUUCACCCGUAACGCAUUAAAUUCUACGUAAAGGAUUCUCCGCACUUAAAUUAAAUUUAUUUAUCGACGAGUAAUUCUAAACGGCGCCAAAAUAACUUUUUGAUCAUAUAAACUCCAAAAUAUUAUUAACUUUGGCUAAAAAAGCCUCCGAGUCAAAAUCCAAAAUAUAUAAAAUACAUAAAGUGUACUUUAAAAUUAUGGGUCUUACAAGUUUAUAUGAUGAUUACGAUUAUGUAUGAUUAGUUAUGUUAUAAAAUUGUAUUGAAUCUAUACGAUGAUUAUGAUUAUGUAUGAUUAAUGAAGUUAUAAAAUUGUGAUGAGAAUAUUGGAGUACCCCAUAUAUGAUGAAAUAGUGAUGAUUUAUAAAGAUGAUGCUCUUAAUGGAGUAGUCUAAGCUAACGAGGGGAGAAAAUAAAUAUUGAGAAUUUGUGAAGUGAAUAUUAUUUUGUCAUCAUAUAGGUAGGGCCUGACAAGCCUAGUGAUUCCGGUGAAGUACAACUGAAUGAGUCUGAUUGUGGCGGUCUGCUGUCGAGCCUUAAGACAAGAUUGUUAGACCUUGGAGGUAUACGGGUGGGGAAUUCCUAGGUGACCUGGAGGUAGCACUCGAAUUGUCGGGAGCUACCAAGCAACACACGCUUACCUCGAUUAUGACGUAUAUGUGUCUCGGGUUGAGUUGAGGGGAUCUAUGAGGACAGGGCCAAUUUGAAUUGUCCGUCCACCGGGAUGGUGGCAUAGUAUCAAGCCUCCUAACCAAGUACUUCAGAAUUAGAAUGGUACCACAUUGUGAAGUAGAGUAUAAGCUCAUGCAUAACAUUGCAUUUUCUUGUGAUUGUUUUAUUGUGACCCCUGUGUUUCAAAAGCGAUAAUAAUUUUCUUAGAUGAUUUGAUGUUAUAGACAAAUUUAUUGAUUUUCCUUGAGUGGUUUUGACUUUAUAAUGCUAUGUUUUUCCUUGAAGAAUGUUUGUGUAAUGAUACAAUUUUUUUAUGAUUAAUUGCAUGUUCUUCUUAUUUAUAUUAUACUAUUAACAUGAUUUCAAAACUCACCUCCUUCGUUGUCUGUGUUUGACUGACUUGACUCUGCGUUUGCAAAAUACAGUUGUUACAGGUUAAUGAGUCUUGAAGUUCAAGUUUGGGAGGAACCCAGCUCUGAUAGGUGACACUGGGAAUAAGGGUUGUAAUUUGUAUUUUCUUAUUUAAUUUGAAAUGAAUUUUUGUAUGAAAACCUUAGAAGUACUAGUUAGUUUUUAGAAUUAAACCAAAUAAUUAUACUUAAAUCAAGCUUAUUGAGAUUUCACUAUUUUAAUGAAAAAAUUAAGUUUAAAGUGUUUUAUUUUUUUUUUUGAGAACCGCAAUAUCCUAAAUUAAAAAUAAAAGAUUUUAUUUUAUUGGAAAUAAAUUUUAUUUAUCCGGUGCAAAUUUUAUAGGAAUAUUAUAUAAAUUAUUAUAUAUAUUAUUUUGGGGUUUAGGGUGUCAUAGAUGGAGCAUAAAUGGAAAUCAUCAAAUUCAUUGUGGUUGUAAACUCACCUCAUUUUGGAUUGAUUGAUCCCUAUGAUAGGUGAUCUAUCUUCCAUUGUUGAGUUUGAAAGGUGAAAAACAAUUGACGGGGAAAAAUGCAAGAAAGUGGAAUUGCUUGAAUGGUAGAGAAGGUGGAGAGUUUUAGAAAAAAAAAUGGUUUUGAAACUACAUAACGUGUGUUUAAAACUCACUAGCUCAAUGCGCAAGGCCAAGGGCGCAAUGCACUAAGGUAUUUAAUGUGCUAAUGAGGUCUGAUAUAGUUGUCUCGUUUCUGCAUAUAAAACUCUCAAUCUAUAGAAUGUUGAUUGUACCAAAGCAGUGAUUGGGAGAUUGCGUGUACCCUUGAGCAAUGCGUUGAUUGACUCGAGAAUGUUUAUUGUCAUGUGUCCCCAUCGUCGACCUUCAGAAUACGCCAUAGUCCAUUAUUCUGGGGGGUAUUAUCGACCCAUCUUAAAGCCUUUGAAUUUUCCAUCCUGGUUUCAUUGCGAUAAUAUUUGAAUGAUGGCUCACUUAAUGCAUAUCCUAUUAUAAUUCAUGUAAAAAGUAACAAGUAUUAUAAAGUGAUAAGUGGAAAAUAUACUAAGAAGAAUUAGAUCAUUACUCAUACAAACAAUUUUUCUUUGAAAUUCCUUGUCCUUAAACUCUCUCAUGAAAUUUUGUGCAAUGUGUCGGAUGCAGUACACAUGUGUUGACGGAGGAUCAUGCCAACUAUUAUUUGGAUUAUUAUAAGCACUUUUAAUGGAUUUGUGUCUAUCUGAAGUAAAACAAACGUUGACUUGAGGUGUGGCGUACCUUCUAUGAUUUUUAUUAAAAAAAAAUGCUCCAAGCACCAUUUGUCUCACCUUCCACAAGUGGAUAAGUAAUGGGAAUUUUAUUUUUGUUCCUAUCAUGUAUAAUGGCUAUUAAUAGAGUCCCUUUGUACUUGUCGUACAACCAAGUUCCAUCCACUAAGAUAAAUGGUUUACAAAAUUUGAACCUAGAGAUGCACGGAGGGAAAGCCCAAAAUAGUUGUUUGAAAAUUUUUGAACCCUGUAACAGAGUAUUAUCAGAAUAUGCAGGUGAUACUUCCAUUUCCACAAUAGUUCCUAGAAGAAAUUUUUGCAUAGCCAACGAUCACCUUGGAAGGUCAUUGUAAGACAUUUCCCAGUUCCCAUAAAUCGUUUCGAUAGCUUUGUUCUUUGCCAUCCAUGUCUUUCUAUUGGUGAUUGUGUAGUUGUACCAUACCCGAAUAUGUGCAAUUAUCACCUUCACUUUAAUUGAUGGGCUAGCUUUCAAAAGCAACUUUAUGCUUUCGCAUAUGAUUAGAUUGCGCUACAUUUGAACAAGCAUUGUAGAUUCACACAUUUAAUUAUAUACCUGUAUUGAUUAGAUUGCGCUACACAAUAAUUAAGUGAGUAUUUUAUGUGGUAGUGUUUAAUUGCAAGUUGACAAUCUGGUUUGCUAUUAAACUUCAUUCCAAUCUCAAGAGAUGCAUCUAAUGGAGGUGGAUCAUUAGAAGGCAUAUCAAAUUCAGAGGAUUGGUAAGCAUAAUUCAAGUUUAGGUUACGCAUAUGGAAUGGUGGAUCGUAUGUUUUUGCAAUUACAUGGGGUUAUGUCUCUAGAUCGUCGUCGUCGCCAUCCUCCCCGUCAAAGUAUGUUUCUUCUUCCUAGUGGAAUAUACGGUUUAGGUUGAGAUGGUUCAGGUUUAGAUGUUUCGACUUGGUCAAAUUAUGGUUCGGGUUAGUAUGGUUCUAGUUGAUAUGGUUCAGGUUGGUAAGAUUCAUAAUUUUGAAAAGAAUGAGUGUUUUGUGUUUGAAAAUUGUAUUUAGGGUGAGGUGUGGUUGAGGGUGAUGGUUGACCAACAUCUGAUAAUGGAUGACCAUCCUCAAACGUGACAUAUAACUCGAUAUAACCGAGUUGCGACCAUUGUUUAUGAACAUCAUACAUGAGUUGAACAUCCCCGUUGUCUUCAACAUUUAACAAUUCAUAAUGAACUAGACCUUGGCCAAAGGAGGCAGGGUGUCAAAAAAUUAUAUUAGACACCCUCUUAUUAUUUUCUAACUUCAACUUUGCUUCAAUUUUUUUCUUCAAGUAAGUACGGUUGCAUAUAUAAUGAACUCGGAUACAUUUGUUUUCCUCACUUUUGAAAUAUUUAUCAAUAUCUUAUAUUUCACAUAUUUCAUCAUUGUAGUAAAUCAGGAAAACUACACUUUUUGGUGCCAUUGAUAUGAUUUAACAAAUUCAGAUGAAAUGUACAUAAAAUAAUGGAAGAUACUUAUACACAUCCAACAAGCAAGCUCCGCGUGCAUACACUUCUUUUCCUAGAAGCGUUAUCAAAUCGCCUUUCCAAAAGGCGACCUUGUGAUAGAUUCCCUGGAAGUUGCCAUUCCAAAAGGCGACCUUGCGAUAGGUUCCCUGGAAGUCACCAUAACAAUAGGUGAUUGUUAUGCACAACUGGAAAAUCGUCAUUCCAAAUGGCGACUUGAUGAUGGAAUCAGAACUUAUUCCUUGCACAUUGAGAACUCACAAAUGACUUACAAAAGUAAAGGAAUAAAAACAUAUUCUUCUAUGUCUAGUCUUCUCUGUUCAGUUUUCUCCGUGCAUAAAUCAAUCAUUUUCAAAGUGGCCUACUCUUCUUGUGUGAAGCCAUGCAUGGCAUCCUAUUGGUCAUUGAAGUCCUUCAUUGAACGAGUAUGGAUUUUUUAAAUGGGGCCAAUUGAAUUUUAUGUUAUGUUUGUUCGUUCGACAGAUGAAAUCUUAUUACUUCUUCGACCACAAACUCAACCAUAUUUGAGACUCUAUAAAUAGGUCAAGUUUAUGAUCAUUCUCCACAAACCAAAAUUUCACUCUUCAACUAUUCAAAUAUACAUAUUUCUUCUAUGCUCAUAGUCACAAUUUUAUUGUCAUCUAAAUGACUUUGUUAUGGAAUGUGUAACGCCCCGUUUUUCAAAGCGAGGGUGUAUUUAUUUAUUUAUUUAUUUUAAAGAAAUUAAACUAAAACAGAGAAAUAAACGAGGAAAUGCCUUUGGAUAAAUAAUUGAGUCAUUAUAAUUUACAAGCAGCGGAAAAGUUUCUCAAAAUAUAAAUCCAAAGCACUUACACAACAACAAAUGGUACAUGGAACCCAUUCAAAUAAGGUGUCAAACUGACAAUAUUAGUAUAAGUACAGUUUUCCAAAUUAAAAUACUCCAACCCAAAAAGAAGGACGUCUAGUCCCUAUACAUCAACCUAAUCUGAUCAUCCUACCAAAAAACUAUACACCCCGAGUGAUCUCCACGCGCCCUGUGAGAUCCUCCUAACGUAGCUCCAGUCAAGCAUUCCCAUNNNNNNNNNNNNNNNNNNNNNNNNNNNNNNNNNNNNNNNNNNNNNNNNNNNNNNNNNNNNNNNNNNNNNNNNNNNNNNNNNNNNNNNNNNNNNNNNNNNNNNNNNNNNNNNNNNNNNNNNNNNNNNNNNNNNNNNNNNNNNNNNNNNNNNNNNNNNNNNNNNNNNNNNNNNNNNNNNNNNNNNNNNNNNNNNNNNNNNNNNNNNNNNNNNNNNNNNNNNNNNNNNNNNNNNNNNNNNNNNNNNNNNNNNNNNNNNNNNNNNNNNNNNNNNNNNNNNNNNNNNNNNNNNNNNNNNNNNNNNNNNNNNNNNNNNNNNNNNNNNNNNNNNNNNNNNNNNNNNNNNNNNNNNNNNNNNNNNNNNNNNNNNNNNNNNNNNNNNNNNNNNNNNNNNNNNNNNNNNNNNNNNNNNNNNNNNNNNNNNNNNNNNNNNNNNNNNNNNNNNNNNNNNNNNNNNNNNNNNNNNNNNNNNNNNNNNNNNNNNNNNNNNNNNNNNNNNNNNNNNNNNNNNNNACCCACACAAUCACCAUGACGAAUUGGUUUUCAAAACAGUUUUACAAUACAUCGCACUCACACACGAUAAUCAAUGCAUAACACUUAGCAAUUCCAACACAAUUACCACCACAAUUCCAAUUCAAACCACUCAAUCAUAUACUUGAUUCAAACACGACUCGUGUGCCAAGCACCCUAAUGCAAUGCGUAUAUGCCAAAAUGCAUGGACUCGGAAUUCCAAACCAAAACCCUCCUCGAAGGGCCGUAAAUCAUAAUUAUACCGCCUAUCGCAGGCCAAAGUACCAAUUACCGAGGUGCCACCUAUCACGGGUCAGCACGAUUUACUAAAAAGCGUAAAUCAUAAACGUACCACCUAUCACGGGUCAGUACAGUUUACCGAGGUGUCACCUAUCACGGGUCAACACGAUUUACUAAAAGAAAAAGCGAGAAAUCACAGGCCAAAGUACUAUUUACCAAGGUGCCACCUAUCACGGGUCUGCACAAUUUACAAAAAAACGAAAACCAUAAACGUACUGCCUAUCACGGGCCCGUAUCGUUUAUCGAGGUGCCACCUAUCACGGGUCUGCACAAUUUACAAAAAAACCGAAAACCAUAAACGUACUGCCUAUCACGGGCCCGUAUCGUUUAUCGAGGUGCCACCUAUCACGGGUCUGCACGGUUUUCAAUAUAUCGACUCCAUCCACAACAAUCGUUAAGCAAAUGCAGAUAUUAAAAGAUUCCCCAUUUUUAAUACUCACUUAACUUAAACGAUUUUCACAACAAAUAUUAAGCAAACAGAAAUAUCAAGAGAUUCCCCAUUCUUAAUACCGAUUUAUCUUAAUGAUUUUCAAAACAAAACGUUAAGCAAACAGUCAUAUUAAGAAUGGGGAAUCUCUUAAUAUGACUGUUUGCUUAACGUUUUGUUUUGAAAAUCAUUAAGUUAAAUCGGUAUUAAGAACGGGGAAUCUCUUAAUGACUUAUUUAAUUAAUGUUGUUUGAAAGUCGUUUAAGUUAAAUGGGUAUUAAAAAUGGGGAAUCUUUUAAUACCUCGGUUUACUUAAUGUGCUUUUGAGGAAAAGGUUUAAGUUAACUGGGCGUUGAGAAUGGGGAAUCUCUUAAUGUCUCGGUUACUUAACUAUCGUUUUUGAAAAUCGUUUCGGUAAAUGAGUAUUAAGAAUGGGGAAUCUCUUAAUAUGACAGUUUGCUUAACGUUUUGUUUUGAAAAUCAUUAAGUUAAAUCGGUAUUAAGAACGAGGAAUCUCUUAAUGACUUAUUUAAUUAAUGUUGUUUGAAAGUCGUUUAAGUUAAAUGGGUAUUAAAAAUGGGGAAUCUUUUAAUACCUCGGUUUACUUAAUGUGUAUUUGAGGAAAAUGUUUAAGUUAACUGGGCAUUGAGAAUGGGGAAUCUCUUAAUGUCUCGGUUACUUAACUAUCGUUUUUGAAAAUCGUUUCGGUAAAUGAGUAUUAAGAAUGGGGAAUCUCUUAAUAUGACUGUUUGCUUAACGUUUUGUUUUGAAAAUCAUUAAGAUAAAUCGGUAUUAAGAACGGGGAAUCUCUUAAUGACUUAUUUAAUUAAUGUUGUUUGAAAGUCGUUUAAGUUAAAUGGGUAUUAAAAAUGGGGAAUCUUUUAAUAUCUGCAUUUGCUUAACGAUUGUUGUGAAUGGAGUCUGUGUAUGCUCAUGCAUUUCAUUUGGUAAAUUGUGUCGACCCGUGAUAGGUGACACCUUGGUAAACUGUACGGACCCGUGAUAGGUUGUACGUUUGCGAUUUACAUUUUAGUAAAUCGUGUUGACCCGUGAUAGGUGACACCAUGGUAACUGUACUGACCCGUGAUAGGUGGUACAUUUACGAUUUACAUUUUUGGUGAAUUGUGCUGACCCGUGAUAGGUGGCACCUAGGUAAACAGUACUGGUCUGUGAUAGGCGGUACGUUUACGAUUCCCGCUUUUUCUUUUAGUAAAUCGUGUUGACCCGUGAUAGGUGACACCUCGGUAAACUGUACUGACCCGUGAUAGGUGGUACAUUUACGAUUUACAUUUUUGGUGAAUUGUGCUGACCCGUGAUAGGUGGCACCUAGGUAAACAGUACUGGUCUGUGAUAGGCGGUACGUUUACGAUUCCCGCUUUUUCUUUUAGUAAAUCGUGUUGACCCGUGAUAGGUGACACCAUGGUAACUGUACUGACCCGUGAUAGGUGGUACGUUUACGAGUUACUAUUUAGAAAAUCGAGUUGACCCGUGAUAGGUGACACCAUGGUAACUGUACUGACCCGUGAUAGGUGGUACGUUUAUGAUUUACGCAUUUUAGUAAAUCGUGCUGACCCGUGAUAGGUGGCACCUCGGUAAUUGGUACUUUGGCCUGCGAUAGGCGGUACAAUUAUGAUUUACGGCCCUUCGAGGAGGGUUUUGGUUUGGAAUUCCGAGUCCAUGCAUUUUGGCAUAUACGCAUUGCAUUAGGGUGCCUGGCACGCGAGUCAUGUUUGAUUUGAGUUUAUGAUUGAGUGAUUCGAAUUUUGAUUUAUCGUGAUAACUGAGAUGAAGGUGUUAAGUGCUAUGUGUUGUGUAUUGUGUGUGAGUAUGAUGGUUAUCGAACCUUUGUGUGUCGUAGUAAUCGCGUAGAAAUUGCUAAGUGUUAAGUGGUGAACUUGAUUAGGAAUGACUUAGGUUAAUUCAUGAAUUUUUGGAAAACUGAUCAGGGAAAUCGAUUUCCCAAUCGAUUGGAUGGGUAAACAGGGACUUGGCCAAUUCACAAAAUCGAUUAGCCAAUCGAUUUCGAAAACAAUUUUCAAAGGAAUCAGUUAAGAAAUCGAUUGCCCAAUCGAUUAGGCCUUAAGUCAGGGGCUCAGGAACCAAUCAAUCGAUUUACCAAUCGAUUGAAUUCAGCCCAGGAUUCUGUUUUCAUUAAGAAUCCCUCACCAAAUCGAUUAGGAAAUCGAUUGGCUCGAAACCAGGGGCUCAGGAACCAAUCAAUCGAUUUACCAAUCGAUUGAAUUCAGCCCAGGAUUCUGUUUUCAUUAAAAAUCUUCACCCCAAUCGAUUGCCCAAUCGAUUGGCUCAGUGAAAAUCCUCAUUUUUAGUUGUAUGAUUAAUUGCUCAUGAAUCUAUCCAUGCCUUGUUUUAUCAUGUGUUAAUUAGGAGAUCGAGAACUGCAUUUUACCUUCAUUUUCAUUGGCAAUGUAAUGUAUGAACUUUUCGCACAUUGAAAAUCCUGUUAAGGUGCAUGCUUAGUUAAAAAGUUGUUUUGAGCAUUCAAAAACUUAAUUGCUAUGUGUUAUCUGUUAUUUUCUGGUUGGUGACCCUUUACACUAUUGUGGAAAUCUGGGCUUUGCCCUCAGAUGAGAGUCAGGACGGCCCUACUGGUUCGUACCCUACGGACAGGGAUGGAGAUGGGAAUGCUUGACUGCGGUUGUGUUAGGAGGAUCUCACGGGGCGCGUGGAGAUUACUCAGGGUGUAUAGUUUUUGGUAGGAUGAUCAGAUUAGGAUGAUGUAUAGGGACUAGGGGUCCUUCUUUUUGGUUUGGAGUAUUUUAGUUUUGGAAAACUGUACUUAUACAAAUAUUAUCAGUUUUAUAUCAUCUUUGAAUGGGUCCCAUGUACCAUUUGAUGUUUAUGUAGAAAUGUUUUGGAUUUGUAAUUGGAGAAACUUUUCCGCUGCUUGUAAAUUAUAAUGACUCAAUUAUUUAUCCAAAAGCAUUUCCUGAUUUAUUCUUUGUUCGUUUUAAUUACUUUUAGAAAAAAAAAAAUAUACCCUCGCUUUGAAAAAACUGGGUGUUACAUUGUGGUAUCAGAGCAUAGGUUUAGUUUUCUUUGGGAGCUGUGGAACCUUGGUUAUAGAUUGUAGGUCGACCUAUAAGUUAGGAGUUGUUAUCUGAUCAUGUGUCGGUUUAGGUGACUUGAGUUGUCAAGUCCAAUUUAAUUGUGUGUUGUUAGUCGGACGUUAGUUUAGAAUUAUUUGAAGUAGUGUUAAAACUCUACUUGAUGAUGGUUCUUAUAGGAAACCAUGCCGCCCAGAAGGAAUGACGCUCCGAGAGCCAACGCUAGGAAUGACCAAAUGGCGGAGGCUAUGAACAACAUGGCUGCUUCUGUCGCUGCACAGACCGCUGCCAAGACUCAACGGGAUCUUGAAAAGAGGGGAAGAGAGAUCCGUGCUGCAGAAUCAAGAGGGUUGGAAGACUUCCGUCGUUACAAUCCUCCUAAGUUCAAGGGGGAUGAGGGUUCAGAGAAGGCGGAUCAAUGGAUCCAAGAAGUGGAGAAAAUCUUUGAUAUGAUUAACUGCCAGGCUGGAGUGAAGGUCAGCUAUGCCACGUAUAUGUUGCUAGGGGAUGCUGAAUACUGGUGGAGGAGUGCAAGGUUGUUGAUGGGAGCAGCCCACGAGGAGGUGAACUGGGAAUCGUUCAAAAGAAAGUUUUUAGACAAAUACUUUCCGAUGAGUACCAGGACUAAGUUGGGUGACGACUUUCUGAAACUUCACCAGGGGAGCCUGACUGUGGGCGAGUAUGCUGCUAAAUUUGAAUCACUAUCGAGGCAUUUCAGGUUCUUCCGUGAAGAAAUUGAUGAACCGUUCAUGUGUCAUCGUUUCCAAGACGGAUUGAAGUAUGAGAUUCAAGAUUCCGUCUUACCUUUGGGAAUUCAACGUUUCCAAGCGCUGGUAGAGAAAUGUAGAGAAGUGGAAGAUAUGAAGAACAAGAGGGCUAGCCGAGUUGGGAAUUUUAAUUCGGGAGGCCCUAGUCGGGCGACUUAUCAGAAUAGGGGAAAACAAGUGGCUAAACCUUAUAAUCGCCCCCAGAAUAACAACGGUGGACCGAGUCGCCCAGGGAACCAGAAUUUCGGAAGGCAAAUGGGGCAAGUGCUUCGAUGUUUCCGAUGUGGGAAAGAAGGACACUAUGCUAGUGCUUGUACCACUAACAUCCCCAUCUGUCACAAUUGUCAGAAGUCGGGGCACAUGGCAAGGGAGUGCACGGCUCCAAAGGUGGAACCAGUGGUGAAUGUAGCUAGGGCUACCCGUCCUACUGCUAGAGGACGCAUUUAUUGUGUGAAUGCUGAAGAGGGAAAUCCAUCUGGUAAUCUGAUUCAGCGUGAUUGUGAGAUUGCAGGUAACACUCUAACUGCACUCUUUGAUUCGGGGGCAACCCAUUCCUUCAUUGCUAUGGACUGUGUGAAUCGCUUGAAGUUAUCUGUGUCUGCUUUACCUUUUGAUUUGGUUGUUUCCACGCCUGCUAAGACCUUAACCGUAAAUUCAGCAUGUUUACAUUGUCGAAUGACUAUUCAGAAUAGGGAUUUCUUGGUUAAUCUAAUUUGUUUACCGCUACAAUCACUCGAGGUCAUCCUCGGUAUGGAUUGGAUGUCUUAUCACUAUGUGAUCUUGGAUUGUGCUCGGAAAUUGGUUCUUUUCCCCGAACCAGGAGUUGUUAAGUAUUUAGCUGCUAACAAACUCCGAGUGUCGCUAAGUGAAGGGACUCAUGAGUUUUUGUCUCUAGCAAAUGUAGAGGCAAAGAUAAAUGUGGAAAUAGAAGAUGUGAUACUUGUCAACGAGUAUCGGGAUGUAUUUCCAACGGAAAUUCCAGGAUUGCCACCGGUAAGAGAAGUGGAAUUCUUCAUUGAUUUGCACCCAGGAACGGGACCCAUUUCAAUGGCACCUUAUCGAAUGUCGCCAUUGGAAUUAAAUGAGCUCAAAGGCCAAAUUGAAGACUUGUUGGAGAAGAAAUUCAUCAGACCAAGUGUAUCACCAUGGGGUGCUCCAGUUUUGCUAGUUAAGAAGAAGGACGGAAGCUCGCGCCUAUGUGUGGAUUAUAGACAGCUCAACAAGGCAACUAUCAAGAAUCGUUAUCCUUUGCCACGAAUCGAUGAUUUGAUGGAUCAAUUGAGAGGGGCCGCGAUAUUUUCGAAGAUUGACUUGAAGUCGGGUUACCAUCAGAUCCGAGUAAGGGAAGGAGACAUUCAGAAAACAGCUUUCAGAACCCGCUACGGACAUUAUGAAUACCUGGUUAUGCCGUUCGGAGUUACCAAUGCACCGGCAAUUUUCAUGGACUACAUGAACAGGAUCUUUAAUUCGUUCCUUGAUAAAUUCGUGGUGGUAUUCAUUGAUGAUAUAUUGAUUUAUUCAAGGACCGAAGAAGAGCAUGGAGAACAUUUGCGACAAGUUCUUGAGAUUUUACGCGAGAAGCGAUUGUAUGCCAAUCUGUCGAAGUGUGAAUUUUGGCUAGAGAAAGUGAAUUUCUUGGGACAUGUGAUAACCAAGGAAGGAAUCGCUGUAGAUCCGGCUAAGAUUGAGGCGGUUCUUGCUUGGAAACAGCCUCAGACUGUCACUGACAUACGAAGUUUUGUGGGACUGGCAGGGUACUACAGGAGGUUUAUCGAAGGUUUUGCUAAGAUUGUGGCUCCACUGACACAACUUACCAGAAAAGAUCAACCGUUCGCAUGGACGGAGAAGUGUGAAGAAAACUUCCAGUUACUGAAGAGGAAAUUGACGACCUCACCUGUAUUGGUGUUACCGCAAUCAGAAGAACCCUAUGAAGUUUAUUGUGAUGCAUCCCACCAGGGGUUAGGAUGUGUUCUGAUGCAACACAAGAAAGCUGUGGCUUAUGCGUCCUCUAGCAGUAGGACAGGUAGCUCUAGCUACAUUCACAACUGGUUCCACCUUUGGAGCCGUGCAAUCCUUCGCCAUGUGUCCUGGCUUCUGACAAGUGUAGCAGGUGAGAGUGUUAGGGGUACAAGCGUUAGCAUAAUGUCCCUCUUCCCCACAACGGAAACAUCNNNNNNNNNNNNNNNNNNNNNNNNNNNNNNNNNNNNNNNNNNNNNNNNNNNNNNNNNNNNNNNNNNNNNNNNNNNNNNNNNNNNNNNNNNNNNNNNNNNNNNNNNNNNNNNNNNNNNNNNNNNNNNNNNNNNNNNNNNNNNNNNNNNNNNNNNNNNNNNNNNNNNNNNNNNNNNNNNNNNNNNNNNNNNNNNNNNNNNNNNNNNNNNNNNNNNNNNNNNNNNNNNNNNNNNNNNNNNNNNNNNNNNNNNNNNNNNNNNNNNNNNNNNNNNNNNNNNNNNNNNNNNNNNNNNNNNNNNNNNNNNNNNNNNNNNNNNNNNNNNNNNNNNNNNNNNNNNNNNNNNNNNNNNNNNNNNNNNNNNNNNNNNUAGCAGCAUACUCGCCCACAGUCAUGCUCCCCUAGUGAAGUUUCAGAAAGUCGUCACCCAGUUUAGUCCUGGUACUCAUCGGGAAGUAUUUGUCUAAAAACUUCCUUUAAAAUGAUUCCCAGUUCACCUCCUCGUGGGCUGCUCCCAUCAAUAACCGUGCACUCCUCCACAAGUACUCAGCAUCCCCCAACAGCAUAGAAGUGGCAUAGCUGACCUUCACUCCCGCCUGACAAUUUAUCAUUUCAAAGAUCUUCUCCACUUCUUGGAUCCAUUGAUCCGCCUUCUCUGAAUUUUCAUCCCCCUUAAACUUAGGAGGAUUGUAACGACGGAAGUCUUCUAACCCUCUUGACUCUGCAGCACGGAUCUCUCUCCCCCUCUUUUCAAGACCCCGUUGAGUCUUGGCAGCAGUCUGUGCAGCGACAGAAGCAGCCAUGUUAUUCAUAGCCUCCGCCAUUUGAUCAUUCCUAUUAGCGUUGUCUCUCGGAGCGUCAUUCCUUCUUGGCGGCAUGGUUUCCUAUAAAACCAUUAUCAAGUAGAGUCUUAACACUACUUCAAAUAAUUCCAAACUAACUUCCGACCACAGCAACACAUAAUAAUUAUAUUGGACUUGACAACUCAAGCCACCUAAACCGACGCAUGAUCAGAUAACAACUCCCAACCUAAAGGUUGACCUACAAUCUAUAACCAAGGUUCCACAGCCCCCAAAGAAAACCAAACCUAUGCUCUGAUACCACANNNNNNNNNNNNNNNNNNUUUUCAAAGCGAGGGUGUAUUUUUUUUUUCAAAAGAAAUUAAACUAAAACAGAGAAAUAAACGAGGAAAUGCCUUUGGAUAAAUAAUUGAGUCAUUAUAAUUUACAAGCAGCGGAAAAGUUUCUCAAAAUAUAAAUCCAAAGCACUUACACAACAACAAAUGGUACAUGGAACCCAUUCAAAUAAGAAGUCAAACUGACAAUAUUAGUAUAAGUACAGUUUUCCAAACUAAAAAUACUCCAAUCCAAAAAGAAGGACACCUAGUCCCUAUACAUCAUCCUAAUCUGAUCAUCCUACCAAAAAGCUAUACACCCUGAGUAUCUCCACGCGCCCCGUGAGAUCCUCCUAACGUAACUGCAGUCAAGCGUUCCCAUCUCCAUUCCCGUCCGUAGGGUACGAACCGGUAGGACCGUCCUGACUCUCAUCUGAGGGCAAAGCCCAGAUUUCCACAAUAAUUGUAAAGGGUCACCAACCAAAAAAAAUAACAGUUAACACAUAGCAAUUAAGAUUUUAAAUGCUCAAAAUAACCUUUCAACUAAGCAUGCACCUUAAAAGGGUUUCCAUAUGCCAAACAUGCAUAAACAAGGUUGAGAAAUGAAGUUUUUAACAAAACAACAUUGUUGUAUUCGAAUACAGCAUCUCUGUAUUCGAAUACAAGGCUGUUUCAGCAUUCAGCAAAAAAAACAGCAUGUCUGUAUUCGAAUACAACAGUCUGUAUUCGACUACACAGCAAGUCAGUAGCAAAAUGUAUUCGAAUACAGCAGUCUGUAUUCGACUACACAGUAAGUCAGUGGCAAAAACAGCAUGUCUGUAUUCGAAUACAACAGUCUGUAUUCGACUACACAGCAAGUCAGUAGCAAAAUGUAUUCGAAUACAGCAGUCUGUAUUCGACUACACAGUAAGUCAGUGGCAAAAACAGCAUGUCUGUAUUCGAAUACAACAGUCUGUAUUCGACUACACAGCAAGUCAGUAGCAAAAUGUAUUCGAAUACAGCAGUCUGUAUUCGACUACACAGUAAGUCAGUGGCAAAAACAGCAUGUCUGUAUUCGAAUACAACAGUCUGUAUUCGACUACACAGCAAGUCAGUAGCAAAAUGUAUUCGAAUACAGCAGUCUGUAUUCGACUACACAGUAAGUCAGUGGCAAAAACAGCAUGUCUGUAUUCGAAUACAACAGUCUGUAUUCGACUACACAGCAAGUCAGUAGCAAAAUGUAUUCGAAUACAGCAGUCUGUAUUCGACUACACAGUAAGUCAGUGGCAAAAACAGCAUGUCUGUAUUCGAAUACAACAGUCUGUAUUCGACUACACAGCAAGUCAGUAGCAAAAUGUAUUCGAAUACAGCAGUCUGUAUUCGACUACACAGUAAGUCAGUGGCAAAAACAGCAUGUCUGUAUUCGAAUACAACAGUCUGUAUUCGACUACACAGCAAGUCAGUAGCAAAAUGUAUUCGAAUACAGCAGUCUGUAUUCGACUACACAGUAAGUCAGUGGCAAAAACAGCAUGUCUGUAUUCGAAUACAACAGUCUGUAUUCGACUACACAGCAAGUCAGUAGCAAAAUGUAUUCGAAUACAGCAGUCUGUAUUCGACUACACAGUAAGUCAGUGGCAAAAACAGCAUGUCUGUAUUCGAAUACAACAGUCUGUAUUCGACUACACAGCAAGUCAGUAGCAAAAUGUAUUCGAAUACAGCAGUCUGUAUUCGACUACACAGUAAGUCAGUGGCAAAAACAGCAUGUCUGUAUUCGAAUACAACAGUCUGUAUUCGACUACACAGCAAGUCAGUAGCAAAAUGUAUUCGAAUACAGCAGUCUGUAUUCGACUACACAGUAAGUCAGUGGCAAAAACAGCAUGUCUGUAUUCGAAUACAACAGUCUGUAUUCGACUACACAGCAAGUCAGUAGCAAAAUGUAUUCGAAUACAGCAGUCUGUAUUCGACUACACAGUAAGUCAGUGGCAAAAACAGCAUGUCUGUAUUCGAAUACAACAGUCUGUAUUCGACUACACAGCAAGUCAGUAGCAAAAUGUAUUCGAAUACAGCAGUCUGUAUUCGACUACACAGUAAGUCAGUGGCAAAAACAGCAUGUCUGUAUUCGAAUACAACAGUCUGUAUUCGACUACACAGCAAGUCAGUAGCAAAAUGUAUUCGAAUACAGCAGUCUGUAUUCGACUACACAGUAAGUCAGUGGCAAAAACAGCAUGUCUGUAUUCGAAUACAACAGUCUGUAUUCGACUACACAGCAAGUCAGUAGCAAAAUGUAUUCGAAUACAGCAGUCUGUAUUCGACUACACAGUAAGUCAGUGGCAAAAACAGCAUGUCUGUAUUCGAAUACAACAGUCUGUAUUCGACUACACAGCAAGUCAGUAGCAAAAUGUAUUCGAAUACAGCAGUCUGUAUUCGACUACACAGUAAGUCAGUGGCAAAAACAGCAUGUCUGUAUUCGAAUACAACAGUCUGUAUUCGACUACACAGCAAGUCAGUAGCAAAAUGUAUUCGAAUACAGCAGUCUGUAUUCGACUACACAGUAAGUCAGUGGCAAAAACAGCAUGUCUGUAUUCGAAUACAACAGUCUGUAUUCGACUACACAGCAAGUCAGUAGCAAAAUGUAUUCGAAUACAGCAGUCUGUAUUCGACUACACAGUAAGUCAGUGGCAAAAACAGCAUGUCUGUAUUCGAAUACAACAGUCUGUAUUCGACUACACAGCAAGUCAGUAGCAAAAUGUAUUCGAAUACAGCAGUCUGUAUUCGACUACACAGUAAGUCAGUGGCAAAAACAGCAUGUCUGUAUUCGAAUACAACAGUCUGUAUUCGACUACACAGCAAGUCAGUAGCAAAAUGUAUUCGAAUACAGCAGUCUGUAUUCGACUACACAGUAAGUCAGUGGCAAAAACAGCAUGUCUGUAUUCGAAUACAACAGUCUGUAUUCGACUACACAGCAAGUCAGUAGCAAAAUGUAUUCGAAUACAGCAGUCUGUAUUCGACUACACAGUAAGUCAGUGGCAAAAACAGCAUGUCUGUAUUCGAAUACAACAGUCUGUAUUCGACUACACAGCAAGUCAGUAGCAAAAUGUAUUCGAAUACAGCAGUCUGUAUUCGACUACACAGUAAGUCAGUGGCAAAAACAGCAUGUCUGUAUUCGAAUACAACAGUCUGUAUUCGACUACACAGCAAGUCAGAUAUAAUAAAUAUAACUUAACAAAUAUCUCAAAAUAUCUAGAUAUUUGUUAAAUUACCAUUUCACCCGUAACGCAUUAAAUUCUCCGUAAAGGAUUCACCGCAGUUAAUUUCAAUUUAUUUAUUGACGAGAAAUUUUAAUUGGCAUCAAAAUAUCUUUUUGAUUAUAAAACUCCAAAAUAUUAUUAACUUUGGCUUAAAAGUCUCCGAGCCAAAAUCCAAAAUACACCAAAAAUACAUAAAGGGUACUUUAAAAUUAUAGGUCUUACAGAAUGAUGAUAAUCACAGAGUAGCGCUACACCACAUUUAAAAUUUUGUAAGCAAUACAAUACUUUAUAUUAUAUUAUAUUAUAUUUUUUAUUCUCUUCAAAUUCCUGCAAAUAUAGAACUCAUAUCAUUCUAAUCUCUACAAAUAUAUUUUUAAUCUUUGCUUAUAUAUUUUACAAGAUUCAUUUCAAAAUUUAAGAUCACUUAACCAUAAACACAUUGCACCAAAUUUUUUAAUAAUGUCAUUGUUGAAUUAAGUCGGGUUUGGUAACAUAUCACAAAUAGAAAGCUAUAAAUAGACAAUUCACUUAUUACUGCUUUAGUUGAAAGAUGGAGACCUGAAACCCACACGAUUCAUCUUCCAACAGAUGAAUGUAACAUUAGAAGAUGUAUCACUAUUACUUAGCUUACGUGUUGGGGAUAAAGCAGUUACUAGAUCAACUAUGGUAUGAUGGGCAUAUGGUUUUUUAGAUUUGUUAGGAGUCAUGCCACCUGAAUCUCAAAGAAAAGGGAAUUUUAUAAAAUUAAAAUGGUUAAGAGAAACAUUUUCAUUGUUAACUCUAGAAUCGUCGGACGAAGAAAUAAUUAUACAUUGUAGAGCGUACAUUUUAAGAUUGAUCGGCGGCAUAUUAAUGCAUGACAAAUCUCACAAUAGAGUACAUAUUAUAUGGUUGCACUUGUUGAGAGAUUUGCGAGAGACGGGAGAAUACAGUUGGGGUUCAAAGUGCUUGGCGAUACUUUAUAGAGAAUUGUGUCGUGCAUCUGAAUCCGGUGUUAUGUCGAUCGAUGGAUGUUCACAUCUACUUAAUACUUGGGCAUGGUACCAUAUGCCAUUUCUUGCACCAAUAAGUAAUCUUGAGUCUCAUUUUCCGUUCGCAAAAAGGUAAAUAUAAUAUUUAUAAAACUAUUAAUUAAUUCACUAACAUUCAAAUUUAUUUUCAUAGAUAUAGUGGAAAGGGUAUUAAAUUUGGUGAUACACCUCAUUAUCAUACCACUGGAUAUCGAUAAAAAAUUGAUCAUAUGACCGUUAGCGAUUUAAUAUAUUAAAACGUUAAUUUAUUUCUAUUAUUUUAUUUCUUCUUAUGCAUAUGUUACUAACAGACCUUUUCUAUAUUAGUUUAUUUGGAGGCCCUACCAACAUCUAACAUACGAUAGUCCAAAAGACAAUUGGCUAUGGAAUGGAUCUACCAUAUGAUUUGUUUCUACAUAAUAGAAAUGCAUCAAACAUAUAGAGUGAAAAUACAAUUUGGACUACCUCAAGAAAUUCCACAUCCACCGAGGAACAUGAAAAAAAUAUCAUAAGUUAGAUUUGCAUAAACAAGUUGACUAUAGUUGGGCAUUAUUCUACGAAAUGAGAACAAAUAGUGGAAUGAACAAGAGAAUCAUAUUCUUCAUGGUCCACCUCUAAAUGUUGAAUUUAAACCAAGUUAUGAAUACAUGGUUUGGUUUUGCAAAAAUUUCAAACGAUUUAUUUCUGUAAAACACCAAUUGGUUAAUCCUCGUGUCAAUCCACCCCAACCUCCACCACAAUCUACCCAACAUUUUUUCAAAGAAUCAAUGCUCAACACGACACAGCAAAAUCAAUAUUAUAUACCAACACCUCCUGACAUGCAACCACCUCCUCAUACUUAUACCCACACACCACAUCAAUCUUACGUGUUCACGUCAUGGGAACAAUUUAAUUUUGACAGCCAACAACCACAUCAAGAAGACAAUCGUCGACUAUCCUUUGCAUCAAGUGAAGAAGAAUUAUUGUAUAACAUGUUUGAUACUCGUUAUAAUACACCUGAGUUCACUACCUAGUUACUUAAUAAUAUGUGUCAGCAAAGCUUUUAGAUUUUAAGCUUUGGGAAUGCAUAUACUUCGUUUAAUCAAAUAUCUAAUUGGACUCAAGGUGGAAGUAGUUCUUUUGCAACACUUCCUCCUAGACAUCCUCAACAACAACAAGAUGAAGAUCAAGAAGAAUAAGAAUAAACUCGUGAUAUACCAAGGCAUCGUCAAAAUCUCGUACGUGUGAGAAAACUUCGGCAAUGUGGUAAUGAAAUUGAGGUAUUUUAGUAUAUAGUUUUGAAAAUUAAGUUUUUGAUAAAAAAAAAAAUUGAAAUAUAUAGAUUAUUGGAAGAAAAAGAAAAAAGCCCACUAAUUGGAGCAUUACGAGAUAUCAAAUUUCUUCUAAGUUUUUGGAAGUUCGACCACAUAAUUGAUGGCUUCAAUUUCCCACUUCCAUUAUGGGAUAUCUAAUUAUUAGAGUAAUCCUUUCGCCUUAUGGUAUUCAAUCUUAGCCAUCUGACACAUUAAAUGUGACUGCACAUACUCUCCUACCUCUUUCUUCAUUCCUACCACUAGAAUAACUUCUUCAAGUCUUGAUACAUCUCAUUGGCACUAGGGUGAUACAUCUUUCCUUUAUGGCCUACAUCCAAAAUCAUAUUCUUCAUACCUUCAUUUUGAGGUAUACAAAUCAUCUCUCUUUGUCUUACCAUUCCAUCCACUAUCCACUCCAAGUUUAAGUUCUACCUCACGUCUUUCAGCAAUCCUUUCUCCAAUUCCUUUAAUAAAAUUUUCCUUUUCUUGACAUUCCAACAUCGUGUUCAAAAAUUCACUUGAUUUACCCAAAUUCAAAUUUCGAAACUCCUCCACCAAUUCUUGCAUUUCCACCAACAUGGCAGCCACAUGGAAAGCUGCUGUAUUUUGUGCAUCUGCCAGCAUAUUAGCCUUUUGUGGAUGGUACUGUAACAUGAAAUCAUAAUCUUUAAUGACGUCAACCGACCUUUCCUAUCUCAUGUUCAGUUUCUUUUGAUAAAACAAAUAUUUAAGACUUUUAUGAUCACUUAAAAGUUAAAACUAUAAAUUUUGCUCCAUAAAAGUAAUGUCUCCAUAUCUUCAAUGCUAACAAUAUUGUAGCCUAUUCCAAGUCAUGAAUAGGAUAAUUCCUCUCUGCGAGUUCUUUAUUUCCUUGAAACAUACGCCACAACAUUUCCUUCUUGCAUCAACACACUACCCAAUCUUUUGUUAUUUUGUUUUACAAGUUUGAAAGGAUUAAAAAAAGCCAAUACCCAAAAGCAUGAAUCAGAUUUGACGCACGAAAAAAGAGAAAUAAACCAUCGAAAGUUCGAAAUUUGGAUGAAGGAGAGAAGAAGAUGAUCGUGAGACCAGAGGCGAUCCACGACGGCGGCGGAGAAUGCGUCUCCUCUUCUAUGCGUCGAUCAUGGACACAGGUUAGGAACAACGCGACGAGCUCGACAGGAGACCCUACCCGCGGUGGCAGAUCAUUUGCCAUCUUCACUGUUUACUUCUCUAUUUUGGAGUUUUUUCUUUUCUAAUAUAUAUGCUAUAUCAUUUGGAUUGAAUUGGUUUGGAAAUUAAUAUAUAAUAUUUGACAUGAGUUGAACCUGGAUUGUUUGUUCAUAUAAGAUGCAUUAUUGAGUAUGACAAGGGUGGUCGAGGGUUUGAUUGCAAUGAAAGGUUGUACUACAUAGGUAACGAGAAGCAAAAGUGAAAAAACAAUAUUGUAUAUCCAUAUAUACAUCUAUACUAUAAACAAAUUUCUUCCAAAUUAGAAUAUAGUACACUUUGUCUAAAAAUAUGUAUCUAACAUUUAUUGAAUGACAUUUAGUAAAAAAAAAAUGUCUAUCUUUAAUUCAUUUAAUUGUCAUAAACUAACAAAAUCUAAAUAACAAAUUUUGCAAAACUAUUCAUUUAAUUGUCUAUUAUCAUAAAUGUGGCAACUAAAUAAUUGUCUAUUCAUUUAACUAUAAUAAGCAGCAAAUCACAUAUAGAAAAUUACUCUCAUUUACGUUUUCAGUUAGGUCAUAAAGAUAUUACUAAUUCUGAAUUUUUUUUUUUGGAACUAAUACUACUAAUUUUGAUUGCUAAUUAUUAGAUGUCAAUAAAUUAAAUUAAUUUUAUAGUGUAACAUUGAAACAGAUUUUUGAACGGUUUUCACUUAUAUUCGCGUAUUUGGACUUAAUUUAAUUCGGUUAUAUUAUCAAUUUAUAAUAAUCGGUCUAACCUAAAUGUCGUAGACUUUUGUCUAUAUAUUAAGAAGUCAUACCAAAAAUAAAAACAAAUUCGCAUCAAUUCUAUCCAUGGCUCAUAGAAACAACAAUAUACGUGAUCCAUUAAAUAGUUGUCUAUUUAUUUAAUUGUAAGAAACAACAAGUCAUAAAGUAAAUUACUCUCAUUUACGUUUUCAACUAUGUGAUAAAGUUAUUAUUAAUUCUAACUUUUUGGUUGAACUAAUAAUUUUAGUUUAGAUUGGUAAUUAUUAGAUGUCGAAAAAUCAAAUUAAUUUUAUAGUGUAAUACUAGCAGAGAUUUUUGAACAAUUUCCACUUAUAUUUGCGUAUUUAAGCUUAACCUAAUUUGGUUAUAAUAUUAUUUUAUAAUAAUGAGUUUAACCUAAAUGUCGUAGACUUUUUGUCUAUACAUUAAGAAGUCAUACAAAAGAUAAAAACAUAUUAGUACCAAUUCUACCCAUGGCUCCUAGAAACAAUGAUAGCAUUUUCGACGUCAACGCAACUAAAGAAUCAUGGAGUUUGAAUGUUCCUGUGCUAAGACUAUAGUCUGUCAAGGAUGUUGUGCGUGACAAACAUCCAUUCUCGAUUGAUAUGUUUCUCAUGGACUCAAAUGUAUAUAAAUUGUGUUCAUUAAAUUUUAUUAAUACAUUUGGCAUAUGGUUAAAAAAAAGUUUAAUAAAUUUCACGUUGCUUUUAAGUUUAAGUUAUUAACUGGUAAAUUUAUUUUUAUUGGCUAAUAGAAUACAUGCAAUCGUGCAUAUAAAGUUGAUUUAUAAGUUCUAAAAGGACUUGCAAGAGGGUCAUGUCUAUUCUAUGUCUAACUUUGGGGUCACAGCAAAUAUUAGGUCGUAUCGUACUACAAAAUAUGAGUAUAAGUUAACCUUUUAGUUUAAUGUCAAAUUGAAAAUUGUUGAUGAUGAAAAAGUUCUUUCCAACAUUUAUCCUAUUUUCAACCUUGGUGAGAUUUUUUCGAGUGAUUAUGAUAUCGACUUUUUAGUUGGUCAGUACAAAAUAUUCCUUUUUAUUGUUAAUCAUAAUUAUCAAGUAUAAAUUUUUUAUGACAUACUAUUCAAGUUUUUCAUUAUUAUCGUUGAAUCUGCCAAACCAUGUUGUAGGAGACUCUUUAAGACAAUAAAGGGACCUGUGUAGCCGACAAACCAUGGUAGAAGACUCCUGAUCCGCUGUCGUACACAGAUCAAAUACAAGUAACAAAAUAUAAAUAGAGGUAAUAACUCAAGUCUUUUUGCAAAGACUUCUGAUAUAAUAAUAUUCACCAAAUUGAAAGUUAAAAUUAGAAAAGGAUUUUUUUUAGUUUUUUGUUUGAACAGAUGAGCACAACGAUUAAUCCACUUAUCCAAGUUUCAGAUCUAUCAUAGAUUCUAUCAACGAGUUUAAUUUCUAAUUUAUGAUUCUAUUCCUAUUUGACUAUAGAAUUAAUCAAACAAGCGUAAUCAACCCUAUGUAAAUUCAGUUUCUUUGACUGGAUUAAGCAUCACAACCAUCGAUAUUUUACAAUUAACGAUCAAGCGUAGCAAAAUCAUAAUUCAAUUAAAUUAGAAAAUCAAAUUCUGUCAAAUGAAUCUAAUCAAUCCUAUUAAAUUCGAAUUAAGUAAUCAGAAUAACAAUAACAUCGAAUAAAGAGAAAUAGAAUCAUAACGCGAAAUUAACAUUAUAACAUGACUCAAUGUGUCGAUGAAACUCCGAAACAGCGGAUCAAUCUAAGAAAUUUAGCAUUCCAUUAAAUAAAUAAAGAAAUAUGUUUUUCUAUUUGGUUCUCAAUCCUAAAAAAUAGUAUGUCUAAGAAAGGAAAGAAACUUCCAAUAUAUAAUACUCGAUUUUGGGCUUUAAAAACAAGUGGUCUGCUAUAUAAAAUUACUACAAAAGUCCAGAUUACGAAAUUUGCAAUUUAGGCCUAGUAAAGUUCAGCAUUGGGCUUUUAUUCCAACACAAAAGUUGUAGCUCUGAUUUUUAGCUCUCCAAUAUUUGCUCACAUGCGUUAAUCUGAUAUCCAGAACUCAAGUUAUGGCCUACAGAGCGAGCAGGGGUCAAAAUGCAAAUAAUAAAAUUAUAAAUCAAAUUCGACCCAAAGUUUAGAAACAAGCUAAAAAACUAUUCUAAGCUAUAAAGAGCUUUUAAAAUACCAAAGUAAAAAGCUAGAAACAUGUGCUCAAAUGUUAUGAUCAACUCCCCUAAGCAACAAAUUAUAGUGAUUGCUCCAUAUAAACUUCCUCUUCAAGAUCACCGUGCCAAAAGGCAUUUUUAUUGUCAUGUUGACGGAGAGACCAAUGUUAAAUUGCUGCAAUUAAGAAAAACAGUCUAAUAGAUGCCAUUUUGGAACCAAGUGUGAAGGUCAAUUGAAUCACUAAAAGUGAUUUAAAAGGACAUCCAGGUACAUAGAGAAUAAAUGCAACUAAAAUGGAAGGGAUAAUUUGGACAGUGCCAACACAUUGAGACCGAGUUUGAGAGUCAUUGGCAGAAAUUAUAGUUGGUAAAAAACCAGAUUUAGAAAGAGAAGAAAAGAGACUUUUAUUACCAGGGACAUGACCAGAUGCACCAAAAUCAAGAAUCCAAGGGCCGAGAAAAGAUGAGUGAUUGAAGUAGUAGAGCCAGAGUUCAUAUGGCUCUGAACCUACCAAAGGAAAUCUUUAUAAUUUGUCGGGGAGCCCUGUAUAUAUGGUGUAGUCUGAAUAGUGGCAGAAGGAUCAAGUUGAGUUGCAUUUAUUGAAGGCAAAAGCUUACCAUGCAACUUCCAACAACAAUCGAUAGUGUGUCCAACUCGAUUACAAUGCUCAAAUUUGGCACAAGACUUAGAGUUUGAUGAUUCUCCAUGAAAGCGAUUGUUUCAAAAAUCAUGUAUUCGUGUUUGUUUGAAAAUUGAUUGCUAGACUUCAAACCCCAAUUGAGGCUAUAUGUGUUUGGCAGCGCAUUUUACUAAUGAAGAAUUGAAACUGCAUAAAAUAAUUAUAAACUUUUGUCAAAUUGAAAAUCACAAGGGUGAAACAAUUGGAAGAGAAAUUGAAAGAUGUUUAAGAGAAUGGGAAAUUGAAAAUGUUUUUACCAUAAUGGUUGAUAAUGCAAGCUCAAAUGAUGGAGCAAUUUCAUACCUUCAAAAGAAGUUUAAUAAUAGGGGAGGAGUAGUGUGUAGUGGAAAUUAUAUGCAUAUGAGGUGUUAUGCUCAUAUUCUAAAUUUGAUUGGUUGUGACGGCACACAUGAGCAGCAAUUGUCCAUUGAAAGUAUUAGAAAUAUUGUACAUUAUGUUAGAUCUUCUCCCCAAAGACUUAAAAAAAUUAAAGAGUGCAUUGAGACCGAAAUGAUUAAGCAUCAAAGCCUUGCGUACUUAGAUGUUUCAACUAGGUGGAAUUCACAUAUGUUAUGCUGGAACAUGUCGAGAAGUUUGAAAAAGCAUUUGAUAGACUUAAUGAGCAAGAAUGGGACUUUCGAAAAUGAUUUGGUGAAGAGGAAAAAGAGAGAAAAAGAUUUGGUCCGCCUAAAAGUAUUGAUUGGGAGAUUGUAGGAUUUUUGUUCAGUUUUUGAAAAUUUUCUAUGAAGUAACUUUAUGUUUCUCAGGUUCUUUGCACGUGACAUCAAAUAUAUGCUUCCAUCAAAUUGUAACAGUUGCGUCUCAAUUGUCAAGUUGGAGUAAAAGUCAUUGUAAACCAUUAGGAGGAAUUGCAAAUUCAAUGAGAGAAAAGUUUAAUAAAUAUUGGGGAAAUAUUGAUAAAAUGAAUCCAUUGUUGAUUGUUGUCGUUGUUUUGGAUCCUCGAUAUAAGCUUGAUUAUGUCACUUUGUGUUUGGCGGAUAUGUUUGACAAAGUACUAGUUACUAAUAUGUUUAAAUUGGUAAGUGAUACCUUGGAUGAUUUGCACUUGUCUUACUCAAGAUGAGAUGCUUCACAAAAUGAAAUUGGAGAUGAUGAAAAUGGUUUAAGAAGCAUACCAUCUCAAAGUGGACUAAACAGUGUUAAAUGUGUUUCUGACAAUAGGGUGGACUUAUGGAAAAAAACAAAAGAAGACUAAAAUUAAUUUAGAAGAGAACACACUAAGCAUUGAUGAAAAUGCUAAUUUUGACAUCUUGGGUUGGUGGAAAGCAAAUUCUUCAAAAUACACGAUUAUUUAUCUCAUUGCUCACAAUGUAUUGGCUAUACCAAUUUCUACAAUGGCAUCCAAGUCAUGUUUUAGCACUAGUGGAUGUGUGCUUGAUGUAUUUCGUAGCUCUUUAUAUGUUAAAUGGUUGAGGCACUUAAAACUGGUUGAACCCUAGUGAUCUCAAAUUUGAAGCAAUGGAUUUUGAUCUUUUUGACAUCACUGAAAAAAUUAUUGAGGGUAUGUUUCAUACUUUUUAUUUAUUGCUUAUAUUAAAUUACCUAAAUAAUUAUUUAAUAUAAAUUAAUAUUUUGUGUUGCUGCUAAUAUAUAUUAUUGAAACACAAUGAACUUAUGUGAUAAAAGAUAACAAGUCAUGAAGGUAGCACCUCAAAGGCUCCAACAUUAUAAGUAAUGAAGGUAACUUGCUUGUUUAUUGUAUAAAAGACAACAAGUCAUGAAAUUAUCAAAUCAUAUAAGAGAAAUUAUCAUCACUUUUGAAAGACAUUAAUCACAACAGCCAAUUAAAUGUUAUACAUGAGCUUAUAUUCUACUUCUUCACCAAUUUGGUACCGUUCUAACUUUAAAGUACUUGGUUAGGAGACUUGAUACUAUGUCAUAAAACAAUUGGUCAGACAAUUUAAAUUGGCUAUGUCAUCAUUGAUCCCCUUUGUUAGAACAAAGUUGAGUUGAAGAACAAUGACCCUUAAAUGUUUUGAUGAUAACAAAAAUUAUUUUGUGAGUCCAAUUUGUAGCCCUUGUUAAUUUAAUUAAGUGUGCAGUUCCCUAGUCAUGAACUUUAAAGAUCUUACGAUGUAUCCUCUGAUAAUUUGAGAAAAUAAAUAAGGAAAACAAGACAAUACUCUGAAAGAAUUGUUAAUGUUAUGACUAACUCUUUUCAACGUGUUCUCAAUGUGUCUAUGAUGAAUCUUUUAAAAAAUGUUUCCUCUGAUGAUUAUGCGUCUGUUGAAUCUGGCAAACAAUUUACUGUCUGGUUAAAGUGUCAAUGAUCCUCAAUACAAUAUACACAUCAAAAAGAUCUUAUUGCCUUCAUACAUAUAAAUUUGUGAAAAUUCUCGUAUCACUUCUUGAGUGCUAAGAAAUCCAAAAAUACUUUGAGAGCGUACCUUAUAAACAUUCUCUUGUAAGAGUUUCUAAAUAAAAACCUAUCUAACCAUUUUUUUUUCGAACUCAACUAGUAGUGGCUGCUAUCUUCAACAAUUUGAUUGUACUAAGGAAGAAGGUUGAAAAAAAUUAAACACAAUCAUAUUGCCUAGUAGGUGUUCAGUGAUCGUCUGAUACUGUUGAUGAUUAGUGGAUUAAAUCCUUUAGAGUGAAAGGACUGGACGUAACUAUUGUGUUGGUGGUGAACCAAAAUAUUUUGACUUGGGUUAUUCUCCUUAUCUCUUUAUCGGUUCUUUCUUUUAUCACUUGUUAAUUUAAUUAAGUGUGCAGUUCCCUAGUCAUGAACUUUAAAGACCUUACGAUGUAUCCUCUGAUAAUUUGAGAAAAUAAAUAAGGAAAACAAGACAAUACUCUGAAAGAAUUGUUAAUGUUAGGACUAACUCUUUUCAACGUGUUCUCAAUGUGUCUAUGAUGAAUCUUUAAAAAAAUGUUUGCUCUGAUGAUUAUGCGUCUGUUGAAUCUGGCAAACAAUUUACUGUCUGGUUAAAGUGUCAAUGAUCCUCACUACAAUAUACACAUCAAAAAGAUCUUAUUGCCUUCAUACAUAGAAAUUUGUGAAAAUUCUCGUAUCACUUCUUGAGUGCUAAGAAAUCCAAAAAUACUUUGAGAGUGUACCUUAUAAACAUUCUCUUGUAAGAGUUUCUAAAUAAAAACCUAUCUAACCAUUUUUUUUUCGAACUCAACUAGUAGUGGCUGCUAUCUUCAACAAUUUGAUUGUACUAAGGAAGAAGGUUGAAAAAAAUUAAACACAAUCAUAUUGCCUAGUAGGUGUUCAGUGAUCGUCUGAUACUGUUGAUGAUUAGUGGAUUAAAUCCUUUAGAGUGAAAGGACUGGACGUAACUAUUGUGUUGGUGGUGAACCAAAAUAUUUUGACUUGGGUUAUUCUCCUUAUCUCUUUAUCGGUUCUUUCUUUUAUCACUUGUUAAUUUAAUUAAGUGUGCAGUUCCCUAGUCAUGAACUUUAAAGACCUUACGAUGUAUCCUCUGAUAAUUUGAGAAAAUAAAUAAGGAAAACAAGACAAUACUCUGAAAGAAUUGUUAAUGUUAGGACUAACUCUUUUCAACGUGUUCUCAAUGUGUCUAUGAUGAAUCUUUAAAAAAAUGUUUGCUCUGAUGAUUAUGCGUCUGUUGAAUCUGGCAAACAAUUUACUGUCUGGUUAAAGUGUCAAUGAUCCUCACUACAAUAUACACAUCAAAAAGAUCUUAUUGCCUUCAUACAUAGAAAUUUGUGAAAAUUCUCGUAUCACUUCUUGAGUGCUAAGAAAUCCAAAAAUACUUUGAGAGUGUACCUUAUAAACAUUCUCUUGUAAGAGUUUCUAAAUAAAAACCUGUCUAACCAUUUUUUUUUCGAACUCAACUAGUAGUGGCUGCUAUCUUCAACAACUUGAUUGUACUAAGGAAGAAAGUUGAAAAAAAUUAAACACAAUCAUAUUACCUAGUAGGUGUUCAGUGAUCGUGUGAUACUGUUGAUGAUUAGUGGAUUAAAUCCUUUAGAGUGAAAGGACUGGACGUAACUACUGUGUUGGUGGUGAACCAAGAUAUUUUGACUUGGGUUAUUCUCCUUAUCUCUUUAUUGGUUCUUUCUUUUAACAUCGCUAAUUUAUAAUAUGUUUUAAUUAUUUUGUUUUUAAAAACAAAACAAAAUUCAAACCCGUCUUUCUUGUGUUUUCUCUCUACAAUUGGCAUCAGAGUUCAGUCUCAAGGUUGAGCACUUAACCGUGUUUGAGUAAAGAUUUUUUUUUUAUUAUUAUGUCUAACUCUGGUGAUGAAGCUAUAGGUGAAUAUGUUAGCAGACAUCCUUAUUUGAUGGAGAGAGAUUUGAAUACUAGAAGGACAUGUUGAGAUGUUUCCACGUCUCACAUGAUCCUGAACUUUGGGACAUAAUUGAAAAUGGCUAUGAAGCUCUUAAAGAUGUUGUCGGUUUUGAAAUAUUCAGAAAAGAUAUAUGUUGAAAAGUUUGAUACUACAAAUUUUUUGACACAAAAUUAACUUUCUUUCAAACGCUAACAUGAGAGUAUUACAAUUAAAUUGAUCAUAGAUUGGGACAUUCUCCAUCCAUAUAUUGGAAUAAACGAGAAAGUAAAAAACACGAUAGCAAUACAUAUAAAUAUUUCAAAAGCCAAUAAAAAAUUACCUAUCAAAAAACAUAAUCCUAACAACCAUACUAAUUUCUUAUACAUAUGGUCAAUAAUAAAAGAUAGUGCAAGAUUCACAGUCUUUAAUGUCAUCUAUCAUCGGAAAAAAAUAUUUGUUAGUGUUUUCUCAUAUCGACAAUAGGUGGUGUUUGACAUGGCCGAUUCAACUACAUGUUUGCAAGCCAUCUGUAAGGUUGAGAAAGUGUCGAGUUUGGUGAUAACCUCCAUAAGCCUCUUACUUAAAAUAAGACAUUGAGUAAACGAGUCAUUCUCGGACAUUUCAAUAAACCCAAAAAGAACAAACUUAAAAUAAACUAAAACGCUGCAAAGAGACGAGAAAUAAAAACUAAGACACGAACAAAAUAACGUCGCACUCGAAUGACAAAAUCACAAAACAAAACAAUUUAUAAAAGAGAAAGUCGGCGACUCUGUUAGGAUUUGAUGCAAACCCAAAAUAUAUAUAAAGUUACACACAAAAAAGACUACCAAUUUGUUAUUUAAGAUGAUAGAAAAUAUUGCAGAUGUGGAACUUCAUCUAUUUCCAUUUCUUGAAGGCUAUGUAGAGUUUUAAUUGUUUAGGUAGUUAGUGAAGAAAGGUUCUUGCACAAAUACACUUUACGACUAAUUAGGUUGGGAGUGGAAAAUUCACAUAGAGAAAAUGACUCCUCUUUUGAUUUUAUAGCCACUUAGCAUGUACUUCAUGACAUAUAUACAUAUACAUACAUAAUAUAUACAUAUCAAGAAUGAGAUCCAUGAAAAUGAGAGAUGAUGAAAGAAAUCAGAUUCAUAAAGAAUUACUCUCACUACAGUUUAGGAUUUUCAGUGUUAGGUUAGUUGUCUAAUGAUCUCGUAAAUAACUAAUUAAAUGACUGAUGAUGGUAGAUACCUGUCAUUGGUAUCUAGCAAUCACAUAUUGAUCUCUAACUGUGUGACGUCGUGUCACUAUAGUCUCUGAAUAUAUCGAAACUACAACCACAUCUUCAAUAUCUCUUUUGUUAGUAAUUUUAUGGACUAAAUUGACCAACAAAAAACACAUUUGAAGAUUAAACUGACUAACUAAAUAUAUAUUUGAAAACAAAAAUGACUAACAAAAACAUAUUUAGAUAUGUUUUUAUAAUUUUGAUACACUCAAUAAUUAUUGUGUUAACGCCUCACACAUUUAGAGAUCAAAAUGACCGUUAAGCUAAAUCAAUUAGUCCAAUGUAAGUAGGUGACACCUAGCUUACUGCCAUUAUUCUCCAUUUGACUAGUGAACUCAUGUGUAAAAGAGUUUGUACAAAUUAACAACAAUGGAAAGUAGCUAGUGGACCAUUGCUUCUUUAUAUAGUUUCCACUUACUCCACACACUCAGUCACAAUCGAUGUAUAUAGAAAAAGAGAUGCUCACAAGCUUCAUUGCUUCUUAUAGUGAAGAAAGUUUCUUUGCACAAAUUCAUCACAAUUUCAUAUUUUAAAGCUUCUAAGAAAAGAAAGACUAAGACUAGCAACAGAUAUUUGAAAAUUAAUUGAUUUCAUAUUUUUACAACUUAUAGUAUGUUUCUCUUUAUUUUAUAACUAUCUACUAAGUUGGAUGUAAGGUGAAAGGUGUCAACAAAAUAUAUAUGAAUACUUAAAAGUUAUUUGAAAUUUUUAUGACAAUCGAUGUCAUUCAUUAGAGAUAGAGGUUCACAAUCUUCUUUGUAUUUACUGAAGAAAUGACUGUUCCACAAAAAUAAAGAAAAAAGAAUAAGAGUUGAUUCAAAAACGCAUAUUUGUUGUCUCUUAAUUUUGAUGAACGUCAAUUAAGUCCCUAUCUUAGAACAUGUUUGGAUUUACGAUGAGCUUAUUAAAUUUUAAUGAGUCAUCGUUAUUUUAAUUAAAUUUUAUUGCGCAUAAAUUAAACGAUUAAAUAAAUUUUUAGUCUUUAUAAAAUUUCACUAUUUUAUUUUUAGUUCUUAUAAAAUAUUUAGUCAACUAAAAAUGUUUAUUUUCAUUUUUAGUCCCUGAUUAUAAAUUAACUUUUGUGUGUUUUAUGAACUUUUGGAUGAUCUUUUACAUCAUUUCCCACAAAAAUUUAGAAAUUUUUAACAAAGAAUAAAUUAAAUAUGAAUUUUUAAGCAUCAAAAGGUUAAAAAUUUAUAUUUAAUUUAUCAUUUCUUAAAAAAAAAAAUUAAACUUUUGUAAAAAACUUAUUAAAUAUUUUGUAAACACUAUUGUAAAAAUUUAUUUAAAAACCAAAAACAAAAAUAAAAAUUUUUAAAGGAAAAUAUAAAGUAACGUGAUUUUAUCGAAAUUAAAAAUUUAUUUAACUAUAUAUAUAUAUAUAUAUGUGUGUGUGUGUGUGUGAAAGUAUACAGCCACCAUCAUUCAAUCGAGUCGUUUAAACAAGUGAUAAUUACUCAUUUCAUUAUUUGAAGCUUCAAGCAAUUACAUGACAAAAAGCUAAAAGCAAGCUACAGUUAAAAUUAUACUAAACAACAAAACAAAAUCAAUUACAGAUAAAAGGAAAAUACAACCAAAAAAAAUGAAAAUCGAACAACCACAUCAUUCACUCAUCUCACAUCUCACAUCUCAAAAGGGGGUAUUGCUGAGGUGAAUGAGGUUCAGGUUGCUAUUCAGGAUUUUGAGGUUGCUCCUAUUAGACGGUUCUUCAGCAGGGGCCUCAUCAAUCUUUUCUCUUUCACUCUCCAACCAUCUCAUGUUAGGAACCACCUUACCAACAUUAGGUUCCCUAUUAACCCCUUGCGACAUACAAAACAUUUUGGUUGUUUUUGGCCAAUUUAACGAUGUUGUCUGAAAUUAUAUGUCCCAAAUUAAUGGGGCGCCUCUUCAUCAAGAUGUACACUCCUAAAGCCCUUCUCACUCUAAUCUCGAAGUAGUUCGAGCAAGAUUCCACUUGUGAUAAAAAAAUUAUAAACCAAGCCUUAGGUGAGUAAAAGAUUUAUAAAUGGCUGUUUAAUUGCAAAUGAAUUAAAAUUAACUAGAUAAAAUAAUAAAAUUAAGAAAAAUAAUUAGGAAUUUGAAUCACCUCAUUUGCAAUGUAUAAUUAAUGAUUCACUAUUUUAACAAUUUAAUUUAUUCGAUUUCAUCAAAUUAAUCAAUAAGAUUAUGACAAAUUAUUUGAUUUGAAAUCAAUUUUAUAAAAAUGAACAAUUUCUUAAAUGAUUAGAUUUGUUACUCAAAGCAUGUAAAACCACUAAUUUGUCCUACACAUAUUAAUACUCUAUAUUCCUAUAAUAAUAUUGAAAUAUAAUCAUCUAUUUUUAUUCUGAUUAUUAGUACCUACUUUCCAACAGUAGAGUAAUUUCUAGGUUCAAUUAUAUAGUAGUCGAUCACAUAAAAACAUUAAGAAUAAAAAUUGAUGAACUAUCACAUAAAUUAUAAUUGCAAAUAUAAUAUAUAAAAACCAAAAUUUCAUAAAUUCAAUUAGGUACAUUUAUCCAUGGUCAAAAGAAAAUUAACUAUUCACGUUCAUAAAAUAAACAAUAUAGAAAAUAAAAUAAACCGGUAGAAAUUUUUCUAAUAUGCCUCUCUUCCUUCCAAUGUUCUUUUUCUUUCCUUAUUACCUGAUCGUUUUCUCUUUCACCUGGUUUUAACACCAGCUUUAUGUUUUCUCCCAUUUGGCCCAUCAUACUACUAAUAUAUAUACAUAAAUAUUAUUUUAUACAUUUUUAUUAUAAUAUAAUUGUAAUACGACUGAAUUGCAGUUUUAGUCUUCCUAUUUUUACUGAUUCAUAAAAUUGACCUCAUAUUUAAAAAGUCGACAAUUUUGGUUUAUCCCUCUAAUUUUUUAACUAAAAAAUGAUUAUGUAACAUGUUUUAAAUAAUGUGACAUAUGAUACAAUGAUCUUGAGUGGUUAACACAUGAAAUUGAAAUAAAAUACCGUAAAAACUUAGUUUUCGACUUCGAAUUUUUUUUCAUAUUUUUAAUUUAAUUAAAGACAUAUGAAUAAUUAAUGCAUCUAGAUGGUUCUAUAUUAUAGAAUUAUAUGUUAAGUUCAAAACUCUUCGAGAGGGAUCAAAACAGUCAAUUUUUAAAAUAGAAGGACCAAUUCCAUAAUUUGGUAAACUACAAUUAAGCCUAAUAUUUUCAUUUUAAAUUGUUUUGCUAAACGAUCUAUCAUAUAUUUUUCCUUGGAAACUUUGAAAAUGUUAUGUAAUAAAAGAUUGGUAUUUUUUUUUUAUCUUAGAGAAAUAUCUUUGGUUGUAUAUCAAAUAUGAGCACACAAAGAAUAACAUAUAGUGAGGUAAUUUGAUUUAUACAAACUUUUACAUAACUCUUGAAAUACACUGUAUAUUUUAUUUAAAUAGAUUUCAAAAUGUGAUGGAAAAUAUUAGUAUAUUAAUAUCAGAAAAUUUUUAAUAUAUGUGUAGAUAUGAAGACAAAAAUAAUUAAAUUAAAUAAAUAUUUUAACUUCGAUUUUUUAAAUCAUUAUCAGUUAUCUUAAACAUAUCCAGAAAAAGUGAUAUUCUAUUACAAUAAACAUCAUACUAAAGAUGAUUACUUUUUAGAUUUCUUUAAUGUGCAUAGGUAAGACCAUGUUGCACAAUGCAUAGGUUUAUAUUCCACCAUUGAAUCAUUAAGUCUUGUAAUAUCUCCUUUGAUCCAAUGAUGAAACUUAUAAAACCAAUGCUCGAUAAAAGUUUGUGCAUGAUGCAAAGCUUACCUCACUUGUCAAACAUAAAAUUUGUUUACUUGCCAAAAUGACACUUGUAAAAUGGAGGGAUUGGUAUUUACUUUUUAAUGAACUUGUAUUUCAUAAAUCAAUUUUUUCUACCUUUCAAAGGAUGUUGAUAUGCUUCUGAACCAUAUCAGCACUUCAAAAUUCACAUAUUUCAACAUAGAGCAAGAAACUAUUAAUGUUAAGAUACGUUAUUGAAGAUGAAUGUGGCUUUGUUUUGCAUUAUGAAACAGAGAGGCCAAUAAUUAUGAUUUUAAGAAAAAUAGCAAUAAAUUAUUUUAUACAAAGUCUAACUAAUAAUUGUAUCUGUAUUUAUUCGGAAGCAAUAAACAUGCUUGAUUUUUUAUCAAACUAAGGUAACAUUGCUCCUAAAUUAGAUUUUUAGUCUAUUUAAAGAUAGAUCUUGUGAUUUCUUUACAGACAUAGAUAUCAAAUAAUAUUUUAAGUUGCUAACAUGCUACAUCAUGCUUUUGAAAAACUCCGACUAAACAUUAAAAUAGUGAAUAAGAGUAUAAGGCCUUCAUGAGUUUGUGCUUAUAUAUGAUAUAUUAUAGUACUUAAGUUUAUACUCAAAGAACAUAGUACUUAAUCAUAAAUUACAUAUAUAACAUAACAAUAAGUAAAAACACAAGUAUGAAAAGCAAAAGACUAAAUAAAAGUUAUUUUGCAUUUGUCUGCCAUCUGCAUCAAAAGUCAAAAGUAGCAUCGAAAGUAGAAGGAAUCUCAUCAUUUUUUCCACUUCACAAAGCAGCACAAAUGANNNNNNNNNNUUUCCCUAUAUAAGGAACACUUCUCUUCAGUUCAAGAUCAGAGUGGAAUACAUCAAGAAAUUAUCUCUUAGAAAUCUUGAGUGUCUCCAAGUGUUUCAAAAACAUGAAAUAUUUUCUUUUCCGUUUUCAAAACCCUUGUAAGUACUAAUCAUGUAUUAAUUAUAUUCCGCUUUUAAUUGUGUCUUUUAUCAAAUCCAUAUUUAUAUAUUGCAAAAUAACUAUGCUAUGCACUUGCAGCUCAGACUAAUCUUGUGCAUCAGAAACUCUGUUCAGUUAUUAUGAACUUUGUGUAUUUUCAAUUUGUUUUUCAAAUCGUUUUCUUAUUAACAACAAAACUCGAUAUCAUUCUUGACGACACACCAUUAUUUUCACCAUGUGUGUUAUGGACUAUGUUUUGUUUCUUUGAACUUUAUUUGCAUAAUCUCAACAAUAAGAACCAUUGUUGAUUUGUACCCUUUGAUACAUGACGUUUAUGGUAUCAAACUUGGGGAAGGAAUAAGUUUAUAUAAAAUUUGUUAUAAAUAUUUAAAAUUCAUAAUUUUGAAUAUUGAAGAAUGAUAGUUUCUGAGUAGUAAGUCUCGUGUUUAAGCCAACGUACAGGCGUGUUAGGACAGUGAAUCAUUUGAAAGUUUCUUCAAUUUUAAAAGAAAAAUUUUAAAUAUGAACAACUCAUUUUGUAGAACUUCUUCUUUAUCCACUCCUUCUACCCAAAAAUUCUCAAGAAAAAAGGAACCUAUCAAUAGUGAAGAAAUUACAAUUGAAGAUUUUCAAAAAUCAAUUAAUAAUUGGAAAAUCCCAAAAAUUAAAAAAGAUCAGGUCUAUGUAUCUAGUCUUUUCAAAAACCUACUCAAAACUGAUUACAUAAUCAAAACAGAAAAAAGAGAUGUCACUCUACCUAGUCCCUUUGAAACGAUAGAACUUCUUUCUCUAAAAACACUACAAAAAUACCGUAACAGAAACUAUAAUUUCAUACAUAUAGGUCUUGUACAAGUCGGAAUCAAACCAUUAACUAGGGAAUGACUAAACACUUCAAUCCUUUGUGUCCUAUGAGAUGCAAGGUUCUUGAACUUUCAAGAUUUAAUAAUAAGUACAAUUGAAUCUAGCUUAUGUCAAGGACCAAUUUGGUUUGAAUGUUAUCCAAAUUUUUCAUUAUCUUUAAAGGACCCAAACAUCUUACAAUCUCUUAUGUUACAAAUCAAAACUCAUAAUUACAAAAUGUUAACAGGAUCUAUUCUUGUAACAAUUAUUUAUAGAGUUCAUUACAAAGCAAUGUUUACAGCCUUCACGGCAACAAAAAAUAUUGAAAACAAAAAAGGCGAAGCUCUAUUUUUACAAACUGGUUUAACAAAGGAAAAUAUUGUUAUUCCAAAAACCAUCAUUUGGAAAGAUAUAGAUCUUCCUAAAGAAUGGAUUAUGAAAGGAGUUGUUAGACCACAGUCUCUUGAACAGUCAAAACAAAACAACAAGUUGAAGGAAGUUGUCCAAUACAAUGACGGAAGGGUAAAACUUAGUUUUUCAAGAACAUCAAGUGUCAGGUAUUCUGAUGUUGAUUCCUCCAGACAUCCUUUAGUUAUUCUAUUACCUCAUAAAAUAGAAAACUUUACAAAACCACGUUUUUUUGUGUUCUAGCAUACCGAGCGCUUCUUUUCAAAACAUUGACUACUCCACAAAUGUACCUCAUCAAAUCUAUACAACGCCUCAAAAUACUAAUGAGCAACAACAAAACAUUUCUCCACCAACUUCGCCAUCUUUUUCAGCAAUAACUGAAAAUGUUGUUAACGAAUUAAAUGUCAUAGAAAAAGAAUUUGAAGUUGAUAAACUAUUCUCCAUAAUGAUUUCUAUGCUUCCAAAAAUACAGAAAAAAGAACACGAUUCUUCAAAAAAAUUCUAAAAUGUUAAGUUCAAAAAUCUUAGAGAGGGACCAAAAUUGUCGAUUUUUAAAAUGGAAGGACCAAUUCCGUAAUUUGGUAAACUACAAUUAAGCCUAAUAUUUUCAUUUUAAAUUGUUUUUCUAAACGAUCUAUCAUAUAUUUUUCCUUGGAAACUUUGAAAAUGUUAUCUAAUAAAAGACUGGUACUUUUUUUUUUUUUUUUUUUAUCUUAGAGAAGUAUCUUUGGUUGUAUAUCAAAUAUGAGCACACAAAUAAUAACAUAUCGUGAGGUAAUUUGAUUUAUACAAACUUUUACAUAACUCUUGAAAUACAUGGUCUAUUUUAUUUAAAUAGAUUUCAAAAUGUGAUGGAAAAUAUUAGUAUAUUAAUAUCAGAGAAAUUUUAGCAUAUGUGUAGAUAUGAAGACAAAAAUAAUUAGAUUUCUUUAAUGUGCAUAGGUAAGACCAUCUUGCACAAUGCAUAGGUUUAUAUUCCACCAUUGAAUCAUUAAGUCUUGUAAUAUCUCUUUUGAUCCAAUGAUGAAACUUAUAAAACCAAUGGUCGAUAAAAGUUUGUGCAUGAUGCAAUGUCUACCUCACUUGUCAAACAUAAAAUUUGUUUGCUUGCCAAAAUGAUACUUGUAAAAUGGAGGGAUUGGUAUUUAUUUUUUAAUGAACUUGUAUUCCAAUUGGUGGUUUUUUGAUUGGUGGUUUUAUUUUUCCAGGUUUUUGUAUGGGUGGCGUUUCAGUUGGUCGAUCUACUGGUUCGAAUUCGGGUUUUUUUUUAAUUGGUCGAUGAACGGGUUUUCCACUACCCCUACCCUUUUGCUGGACUUGGUAAACAUUUGCAAGACCUUGUGGAACAAUGAUAAGAGCACCAAAGAACAAAACUAGUAAGGACAAGAAAAAGGAAGCCAUUU